UCCGGAAAGAUUGUAACCUCAUAGUACUCGACCAAUGAGGAACUGGGGGAGGGACUUGGAUGCUAGGAGAUAAAUUAUACCAGACACCUAGUCUUGCAAGACCCCUAUUAAAAGUCUCACUUUCGCUGUUCUUUGUGCCUCUAAGCCCAUUCUUUGGGUUUGGAAAGCAAUAAAACCCCGGAAAAAAGGCACCAAGUGGAAGUAAGGAGUAAGGAAGGGGACAGCUGUGAACACUGGCCUCCUUAGUCAACCACAGGUGUCAGAGAACUCAAUGGAUGGAGUAAAUUUGAAGGAAAGAAAUCAGGCAGAAUCAAAGUACUUCUCCUUCCUGCCAUCACGUGAAGAAGGACGUGUUUGCUUCCCAUCUGCCAUGAUUGUAAGUUUCCUGAGGCCUCCCCAGCACUGCAGAACUAUGAGUCAAUUAAACCUCUUUCCUUUAUAAAUUACCCAGUCUCGGGUAUGUCUUUAUUAGCAGCACAAGAAC